CCUGAGGACACUGGGAGGACUGGGAGGACUGGGAGACCAGGCUCUGAGGGACUCCACACUCCACCUGGACGUCUUUAGAUCCGGAUCAACCCGAGCAGAACCAGAAUCUCUGCAAGUGAGCAUGCACCCCCCCACUCAGCAGCUCAGAAUGGGUCGCUCCAGUCUGCUGUCCAAUAGCAGAGAGGCUCAUGGAUCGCAGCCCCUCCAUUGGCUCCCCACAGGAUCGAUCCCGGGCUGAUUGAUCGGGGGUUUAAGGCCACAUUUAUUUUUAUUUUUAUUUUUUGCAAGAGAAGACACAAAAACAAAACAUCACACACUUUGUGUUUCUGUCAACUUCUAGCUUUAAAUGCAUCCAAAGAUAUCAGAAUAUAAUAAAUAUAAAUGCAGCUCUGAGAGGAGACAGUGUUUGGUUCUGUUUGGUUCUGUUUGGUUCUGUUUGGUUCUGUUUGGUUCUGUUUGGUUCUGUUCAGUCACAGGACGCAUUCUUCAUCAGUUUGCAAGCGGUUGUAAAAGUUUGCUCAAAUAUUGAUGAGCUUUAAUUUAUGGAGGACGAGUUAUCUCCUCCUGAAAGCACUGACAUCACUGAGUAAUGUGUGGAUGUAAAUGAACCACGUAGUGUGGAUUUACUCCUCUACAUCACUGCGACAUGAAGGGCUGCAAAUCUUAUUUCAUUUAUAUCAAUGUUUUUUUUAAUUAAUAAAAGAGUAAAACUGCCUGAAAGUCUGCAUAAAGUAUUUAUGAUAUAUUUCAUGGAGGGGGAUAAAAACGGAGAGAUGAUGCUCCUGCAUUUAUCUGCUGGUUUUGCUCCUAAAGGUGCUGCUGUGAGGUGACAACCUGUGAGAUGUUUCAUUUUUCAUUUUUCAUUUAUUCUUCUUCUCCUCUCUCUCCGUCCAGGCAUCGAUCACCUGCAGCCAUGGUGUCGUCUUCACACAUUCUGCGGUAACAAAUAAAAUAAAACCCAGUGAGGAUGAUGGACAAGUUUACAGGAGGGAAAAUAAAGAACCACCAUCAGAGCCUCUCCAUCAGUCCGGCCGGAGAGGCUCCAUCGGCGGCGGACCGGAGAGACUUUUCCGCACGGAGAGAUAUUUUGGAUGAAAUGAUCAACUCGUCGAAUUUGUAAAUGAAAUGAUUCAUUGUUUGGCCCAAAUGUUCCUCUGAGCUGCUUUCUGAGCCUCUCACACUUUAAUGCUGAAGCAUUUGCGCCUCCUACCGGAGCUGUGCGGAACUGCAGGAGGAGAGGAGGCUCAGAUGAAGAAGACAGGAAAGUCAAAGUUAGUCAUAAAACUGUUGAACUUAUGUGUGCUGUCAUGGUUUGUAUCUUCUUCACUAAAUGCAGAAAGUUUGAAUCUGUAAUAAAGUUUUUAGUUCAUCAUAGAAAACUUCUUACAUGCUAAUAAAAUACACAAUAA